GGGAGCUUGCUGAACUGAUACCUGUUGCACAUCCUACAUUGAUAAUGUCAUUUAAAGAGGAGUCUGUCAUACACACCUGUUCCCUACGUCUUUACGAUAGCUACACCUGGGCUUGUGCUCUUCUCCCUGCCAGAGGCAAGAGCAGACAGUUAACAAAAGAAGGCAUUAUGAUGGUCGAUACACAAUUGUUCAAAACUAGGGGACUGUUCCUCCUCUCACGCACUUAAUUCAAAACACGGUGACCUGAUGGAGGUGACAAAGCUGGAACGGAGGAAGCAAAGAGAGAAGGGGCUGCCUGGGCCCGCCUGGUCUCUGCUGCCCCCCAGGGAUGGAAAGAGGACUGAGGCUCAGAGUGAGCUCAUUGGCCAGUGGGUCUCCAUGUAGUCACCCUGCCUGAAGUAAAUGUGGCCAGAGAAGUGUCUUGGCCAGAUCACACUUGAUAGACACUGAUUGUGCUUCUUCAAAAUUCUUAUGUUUGAAGCCCUACCCCUUGAUGUGACAGUUUUAGGAAGUGGGGCUUUGGGGAGUUGAUUAGGUCAUGAGAAUAGGACCCUGGAGAAUGGGAUCAGUGCCCUUAGAAAAGUAAAAUCCUAUCCCCCAAUGUGAUGACGUUGAGAGGUAGGGCCAACUGGAGGUGAUGAGGAUUAGUUCCCCCAUUAGAUGCCAGAGAGCUCCCUUAAUAUCUCCUGCCAUGUGAGGACACAGAGAGAAUACUGUCCUCUCUUAACCCGCAAGGAGCCCUUCACCAGACAUUGAAACUGCUCAUGCCUUGAUCUCAGACUUCCCAGCCUCCAGAACUGUGAGCAAAGUUUUCUGUUUAUAAAAGCCAUCCGCCUGUGCUGAUUGGUUACAGCCGCUGGAAAGGACUAAGACAAUGCUGAUCAGGUGAGUUAUUCCUACCCCCAGGCUGGCACCGAUCAAGGGGUAAAGCCCUCAACUGAAAAGCAUUCACCCCGACCCCGGGCCCUGGGAGAAGGACAGGCUCCCUGCUCCUCACUUAGUAAUCUGAGGCAGAGCGCCAUGACCACUGAGUGUCCUCCCUGCAAGAUCACCAAAAAAAAAAAUCCCUGUUCAAGCCAUCUAAUCUUCCAACACUGCAAACUGAUUCUUGAGAUCUGCCAUCUCCAGCCAACACUGCUGUUUCAUGCAACCAACCCCCUGCCAACACGUGACUAACGCUGCCUCCAGGGAAGGGCCCUGAAAGGCAUUCACCACUUAGCACGGCCUGACCCCGUUGCACAUCUUCAGCCUGAACUCCUGCACAAAUGUCCUUUUUGCCACAAAAACAGGCUCCAUGUCACGGCUGUCACACAGGGUGGCUGUAAAUUCCUGACCCGUGGCCAGUAGGAGCAGUCCCCGCUCCUAAUCCUUCGAGGCCUAGAUCAACAGGCCUUCCCAAGAAAUCCUUCUCUGAGCCUCUCUUGGAUUGACCCUGUCUGCCCCCUGCUCCCUGCCCCCCACACACUGUCCUACUGUUCCUCAUUUGCCAAUCUCCUGGAUACACACAGAGUUUGCUGGAAGCUGGGAAUGAAGGUGUGCUGGACAGCAUCCUAGAGGAUGGACGAGGACAGGAGUGUCCAUGUGAUGGCCCUGUGAAAGUGGUCGACAGAAGAUGCCGGGGUCACAUGAGAAGGAAAGGUUUGGUGGGAGAAGGCUUAAAAGCAAAGGUAGUUUUGGGAUGCCUGGGUGGCUCAGUGGUUGAGUGUCUGCCUUCAGCUAUGGGCAUGAUCCUGGGGUCCUGGGAUUGAGUCCUGCAUCGGGAUUCCCACAGGGAGCUUGCUUCUCCUUCUGCCUGCGUCUGUCUUUUAUGAACAAACAAAUAAAAUCUUGCCCAAAAAGCAAAGGUAGUUUUAAGUCGAAUCUCGAUGAAGGCGAGAUGGAGGAAAGGUGAACAAAAGCAAAGCCAAGGAGGACCUGAAUCCAUAACUGUGUGAGAGGAGAUUUGUGGGAACUCUUUAUGGACUAGUUCAUCAGGGCUUCUGAUCCCUGUAAUGUGGGCAUUAAGAAAAUUCUCCACGUUAAUAUGAAACAUUUCUUCCUCAUUUGCAUCUUGGGGGGCAGCUGGAAUGGGACAAACACACCAUGUUCUGUGAAGGACACAUGUGCUUGAGCCUCUGUUGUGGCCCUAAUAUAACCUGGUGUGCGUGCAGUCCUGCUCAUUGUCAGCGCUGGCAGGCGCUAGGAGCCUACAGAAAACCCCACCAGACAGCUCAAGUGUGGCUUAACGAGAUGCAAUCAUUUGCCUGGAGCUAGGAGGCCACUGCUUUCCUUCUGGCUCUUGGGCAAACCUCUCUCCCAUUGAGGAAUAGGCCAGAUCCAGUGGACAUGGCCCAAGAAACCAACUGGAAGCUGGCUUUCCUCAGGCUAUGACCUGGCCCAAAUCUCUGCAUGAAAUAUUACCAAUGGGCCUGAAGGGAUACUAUGCCCUGUCUGGAGCCUUUGGGGCCCUGCUGCCACAGAGAGCUGAUGUUUGCUGAGAAGGCUGUGGUGCCUCACAUCCCCCUGCAGAGCUGGUAUUUUUUCCCUUUGGUGAAAGUUAGCAUCAAACCAGAGAUUGGAAUGUCCAAUUCUAGAACUUCUGCAGCUUCUCAUUAUUUUGCCAGUAAGUACCUGUUCCUCUCACAAAAUUCACUUAUUUUCUUUACCAAAAAAUACAAUUUAGACUAAGACCCUUAACUCUUGCCCAUGAUACAAGCCACCCACCUGCCUCCUUCUCCUUGUGGAUAUUUUUCCCUCUUGCUAAUGGUUUAAGACACAUUGAUUUACAUUCCCUGUAAGAUUUAGAAGGCAGCCUUUAUUAUUUUUAUUUUUUUUUUAGUCAGCCUUUAAAAUAUAAAACUAUACACUUAAGACAUAAACCUGCAGAAUGCCAUUGAGUUGCCAGUGAAGGCAGAUAGUCACCCAUCCAUCAGUCAUCCAUCGUCCACCAGAUAGACAUCCAUACUCAGAUGUCUCCCCAGACACGGUGAACCCCGGAGAACCUGGGAUGAAGCUUUCAAGGCCCAGAGAAGCCUUCUGGUAUCAGAGAUACAGAUGAUCUGAGUGACCUACAAACAUACUAGUAAAUGCCAGCAAGGGGUCAGGUGGCUGUGAUUGUGUAUUCACAAUCCAUGUGUCCAAUUCUGUGACUCUGUAAUCCCUGAGCUUUCAGCUUCAAGGCCAAAGUCAUACAUUUGACUUAAAUGAGUGAUGUACAGAUAUACAGAAGGAGAUACAUGACCAUGUCUACAGAGCAAUGCAUAUUUAUCGUAUUUUACGAUUAAAAAAAAGAUUUUAUUUAUUUAUUCAUUCAUGAAAGACACAGAGAAAGAGGCAGAGACAUAGGCAGAGGAAGAAGCAGGCUCCCUACCGGAGAGCCUGAUGCAGGACUCAAUAACAAGACUGUAGGAUCACGACCUGAGCCGAAGGCAGACGCUCAAUUACUGAGCCACCCAGGUACCCUGCUUUAUGAAGUUUUUAAACCCAGGACUUCAGAGUUACAGGUUAAGACAUCUGCUGGCCACAUAAUCACACUCCACUGUGAUUCCAAGGAGCACCCAAGGCUUCCUUCUAUCUACUGGCAUGUGAUGGAAAAUGUGCAUGCAAGCAAGGGACACUAUGCAGGGGACCUUUUCAUUGGCACCAUUUCUGUUUCUGAAAUUGAUGUGGAAAGGAGAUCCUCACAAUGUACGGUUUUUAUGCUUCAGGAAUCCAUAUAGCACUACACCUUAAAUACCACUCUUUGAUUGCUCUGACAAGCUUCAUGAUUUCUUCUCAGAUGUAACUCACUCAAGAGUAUUCUUAUAAAUAAACUUUAUUAAAGGCCAUUAUUUUAAACAAGCAAACUUGUUUUAAUGUAAUGAUCCAUGAUAUUGUAAAAUUUGAAUUAAAACGGUCAUUUGUUAUCAAA